GGAAGGUUGGAAUACCAACAAGCUUGCGCUAGCGGAACAAAAUCAGAUUUAUUCAGGAAACGAGGUCACUCUUGAGAUUCAAGAAUCAGCUCGCAGCAAUGGACGCUGAACUUUUCAAUUCUACAAUUUCUGGGAAUGAAAUUAGCUUUGCUUCAAAUCCCGAGCAGUUGACAGCCGGGGGGAACUCUGUUCUUCACGUGGCAGCAAAAUCUGGAAAUGUGCAUAUCAUGGAAAAGGUCCUUGAUUGGCAUCCACCACUUCUGUAUAUGACAAAUUUCAAAGGCAACACUGCACUACAUAUUACAGCAAGCUUAGGGCAUUCUGACACGACAAAGCUGCUAA